UUGACAGCACUGGAAACUGAAGUCAUUUGUUUGUCCACAAAACAGGUACAACCAAAGCAGCAGAACUUCUGGCUCCCUUAUCAGUGUGCCUUGGGAUCCCUUUUCAAAGCACCUCACCCAGGCCACAAAAAUCACCUUUUCCCCUGGCCUUUCUGGGGAGAAGGCAAUUCAAUUUUCUAAUCAGUCCUCAACCCCGAUGCU
rnacentral:sRNA from 1 species